CAAACUUUAGUUUCGUAAAAGUUAGCGAGAGAGAAACAUGUUCCGCGAUAAUUAAAAAUUAAUCGUUUAUUCACUUUAAAUGUUAUGAAAACAAUGUAAAGUGUAAAUAAAUACGUGUUAUUUGUUGUGCUAUAGUGUUUUGUGUGCAAAAUGAAAGUUAUUGAAGCGAAAAUCGUAGUUUUAGGAUCACAAGGUGUGGGCAAAACCAGCCUGGUGGUCCGCUACAUAGGCAAGAUGUUCUCCAAACACAUUUCGCCCACCAUCGGGGCGUCAUUCUUCACAUGCAACAUUAAUCUCGAGAACGCGAGGGUUAAAUUACAGGUAUGGGACACAGCGGGCCAGGAGAGGUUCAGGUCUAUGGCGCCCAUGUACUAUAGGAACGCUAACGCGGCGCUGCUAGUGUUCGAUAUAACUAGUGUUAAUAGCUUUGCUGCUAUCAAAGGAUGGGUUAAGGAGCUGCAGAGUAAUGUUCCCGAAGCCAUGGUCCUCUCAGUGGUGGGCAAUAAGAGUGACCUGGAGGACCUGAGGGCGGUGCAGUCCAGCGAGGCGGCGCAGUUCGCGGCCUCUAUAGGCGCGCAGUACUGCGAGACUUCGGCUUUGCAUGACCAGCAAGGAAUCGACCAAGUGUUCCUGAAUACGGCGGCGGCUCUACUGAAGCUGUCCAACUCCAACCUGGUGUCCUCGCUGCGGUCCUACGACUCCGCUGAUGUGGACCCUGAUAAAAUACCCACAGGCACGCCGACAGAAGAGGACGCGACCCACACGGGCAAGGUAGAGCUCCCGGCGUGGAGCAUAGACAGCAUCGCGCACGGACACGUGCAGAAGAACAUGUGCUGCUGACCGUACUGUAUAUGGGGGGUAGGGGGGUAGGCAGAGAUCACAGACAUAUUAUACGUGCACAGAAGAAGAUGCGACCCACACGGGCAAGGUAGAGCUCCCGGCGUGGAGCAUAGACAGCAUCGCGCACGGACACGUGCAGAAGAACAUGUGCUGCUGACCGUACCGUGGAUGGGGUAGGCAGAGAGAGAUCACAGUCUUAUCACACGUGCACUGAAGCUAAUUAUAACUAGAUAAUGCAAUAUAAUCUAGGCAAGCAACUCAAAGGCGCCUUUAAUUAGUUUUUGACUGCCGUUUCUCUAUGUUAGGCAUGCCUUUGUAAACUAGCGCUCUAGGCACUUGCCUCGUUUUGCCUUAGAGAUAGUACGGCUCUGUAUGUCCCCUUCAUCAUUCGACCCAUGCGUGCGGCGCGUCGCGUUCCGCGUGCGCCUCAAAGAGCCAUCAGACCACCACAGAUGGGGCCCAGUAGGGCUGAUGCCUGAUCCGGAGCUGCGGACUCACUAGCGAGUUUACCGGGGCUCUGGUUUUAAAGGCAGGAGUAGGAACGGGGUGGUUUUUAGUCAGUAAGAGUCCAACACUCCCUCCCGCCUCGCCCAGAACGGAAGAUUAAUUCAAUGGAUGAUUUUCCCCACUCACAAAAAAUAUUCCAAUAUAUUGAAUAAAACCUUUUCUAACACAUUAUUUUUUAAAAUUGCAACUUUAUUUACAUACGCCAAAUUCUUUGUAGCUGUCAAUUCAAUAAUGUCAUAUUUGAGCGGAUAGGUCAAAUGCAAACAUCGUUUACUUAAUAAAUAAUAAAGAAAAAAUAAAACAUUAACAAAAUAAUCUUUAACAAAAGUGAACAAUCUAAUUUCAAUUAGUAAAAUAUGAGAUUAGAUCGACUAUAAAAAAACAUAUUUACAUGUUUUAUUCAUAGUUUGUAAAACAUACAAAAAAAAUUGUAAAUCAUCCAAAAAUGCUGUUCAAAGGUUUAAAAUUCACAAUACGAAAGAUAUAUAUACCAGUUACUGUAUAUAAGAAGCAACAAGAUUUUUGGAAUAGUAUCUGAAUAUCGCUUUUUUUCAAGUUGGAUUUGAAUUCCAAGAAGUCUUCGAAAAGUGCCUUCGAUGAUCGUCGACUGUGAUGUACUUGCCUAGAUUAUAAAAACUUAUUUAAGUUAUUUUUUAUGUAAUCAAUGGAGGUAAUGACUGUACUAUGCUUG